ensembl:antisense E030013I19Rik RIKEN cDNA E030013I19 gene
UGGGUGCCCCCACUAAGACACUGGCUCUGCAAAGAGAUUGGAGAAAGUCACUCUCUGGGAACAUUUACCCGUGUGCCCAGUCUGUAGAAGCAUGCCCACCGGACUGCGGCAGCAGCGGCAGGCACAAACAGAUUUAUUGUGGAAAGACUGCCAAACUUGAUUUCCUCUUUGGAAGUCUAUAAGCACCAGAAACCUGGUUUUGGAAGAGGCUGCUAAUGGUUCUGCCUGUCUAGGUGGAGGUAGGUGGAGACUGUGAUAGGGAAGGCAGAUCCCAACUGUCUGCAACCUAAGGCGCUAUGAAAUUCCGUAGGAACAGACUGCGGUCCUUAUUUUAAAACUGACCUGAGUCUGUCCCUCCCCACUCUCUCCUUUGUAUAAUGCUCCUGUCUUUGAAUCCGAACUUAUAUACCAGUGGAGCAUCUCCAAUCCCAGAUUCAUGGGCACAUCUAUUUAGCAUAAGUCAGUAGGAAAGAUGUUGGUAGCAGGCAAAAGAGCAGAAUCUGACCCGGACUGGGCAGUUGCCUGAAAUAUCAGACAUCCUUUCCUCCUGGCUGCGGAGACCUCUGAGAGACAGAGACAGGACCCGGAAUCGCGCGCCACCAACCCACCAACCCACCAACCCAACCCAGCAACUUACGUGCGCGCAUCAGGUAUGUAGAAGUCCAGUGAGUAGCCGAAGUAGCUGCCCUCGGGGCCACUGUACACAGUGAGCUUGUCCACAUCCAAGUUGAACGCCAGACACGCAGGGGACCACAGCAUCCCCAGCGCGGCCGAGACGCAACAGAGACGCGCGAACGGAGGUGCCCGGUUCCCCGGGGGACCACGGUGGGUUCCCGCAGACAUCGCCCUCCUCCCCGAACGCUGCUCACCCGGGUUCGGGAGCCGUGGAGCCCAGAGGAGAAGGCCUGACGCUCCCCAGAGGCCGGUGUCCCGGGUCGGUGAGCUAGGAGCGUCCACAGUGACAGUCCUCUCGCGCUGUGCGGCCCGCCGACCCCGCUGCUCUGGGCUUGCAGCAGCGGAUCCCGCGCUCGACCCUCUCCAGCCCCUGGCUGGGGCCGGCGCGCUCUUCGCGCCCUCUAGCGGCUAGUUCUCAGGCUGCAGGACGGAGCUUGCGGUCUAGGACCGGGCAAGCGCCUGUUGAGCCCGCUAGAUUUCGACGAAAGUCUCUAGUUUAAGGACCAUCUAAAUUUUAUGGAUGUCACCUCAAGUCAUUGUUUUGGAGAAGCGGUGUUCCAUAUGCGGCGAGAAUUUAAUGAUUACCCACAAUUGCGCAGCUCGCAUACAAGCAUACAAAAGAGUAUACCAACUCCAGAAAAGAGUGGUUAUCUGGCUGUCACCUCUACCCUUGAGGGCUUCUGAGCACAUGAACAGAACACAAGAAUACUACAAGUUAAUUUAAAGCCAGCAGAUGAAAGUUAAAAUCCCUGGAAUCAAGAUGCCAGGUGGUAUUCCUGGAAGGAAAAAGAAAUGUGUCAAAUGGAUUAAAGUUAGCCUGCUUUUCAACUGGUUUACAAGAAGAAUUUGUUCAGAGUAGAUGUUGGAGUGACUCGCCUUAAAGUCGCUGAAAGCUGAUUUGCCUCUGCUUGCUCUCAAGCCAAACCAGGGGACCAGUGGCAUACCUGGGAGUUCUAAAGAAAAGCUCUUUUUAUCAAUCAUGUGCUUAAUGUUCAACCACUGUGUGUUCUCUCUCUUGUUUUUAUCACACUCUUGGGAAAUUAUAGACUUGUAAAAUAUCAAGGCCAGCAAGAUGUCUCAGUAAGGGUCCUAGCUACGAAGCCUGAAGGACUGACCAACUGGUGGGACCCUGGGAUUCAUGUGGUGGAUGGAAAGACAGAGCUGAAUCUUACACAUCGCCCUCUAACAUGGGCACUUUGACAUGUAUAUGAACUCCUUAACCCACAUGCAAUCCAUGUAAUGAAAAAUUGGAGUAUAGUUAAUGUCUCUCUUCAGUCCUUAAUCUUACAGACAGUCUACUCAUGGUAUGAUCCUGUUUAAAAACCAGUGAUGCUCACAGGUGGAGAGGCAAUGUAGCACAAUGAGUGGGUUCUAUGUAACCUGAGCUUUUCCACCUGGCCUCUCUCUUCCCUGAAAUAGUGACUCUGAGAUGUUUUAUACAUGCAUAAAUGUCUAGGCCAAUAGCUUUGGCUUAUUUCCUCUAGGUCAUAACUCAAUUAUCCCAUUUAAACUAGUCUAAGUCAUGUCACGUGAUUAGUUACCUCUCCUCAGGUUCAUGUGUCUGUCUCCAUCAGCAUUCUGGGAGAGUCUUUCAUCCCUGGGCUUUUUCUGGAACCCAAUCUCUAUCUGCUGGAUGUUCCACCUUCUAAUCCUGCCCCAGCUCAUUGGCCACGGGCUUUUAUUAACAGGUGAUGCUUCCACUCAUUACAAAAAAAAAUUCUCUACAGUUCUGGUUCUAGACUUGGGAAUCUACAAUCCAGUGUCCCCACCUAUAGGAGCCUAAGUAAUUGCUUUUUCUUAUUCCAAUUUUCUCACUUGAAAAAUGGCCACAUUAACAGUAAUUCAUGUGGACUAGUGAAGACAGUAUGAAACAGAUGUCUACACUUAUAUCCGAAUGCCAUGGAAAACAAUGUCAUUCAUUGUAACAACAUUAGCUUGUGUCCAUUCUCAUAUGUGUAACUGAGAAUUCUGAGUGCUCACUGUUAGUUGGAAUUAACCUGGAAAGUGUCCCAUUCUUGAGUAAAACCUUGUUCUGCUGUCUUGGUUGAGCCUCAUUAGUUAAACUCUCCAAUAAAGGCAUUAAAUGUCA